GGAAUAUUGCACAAUGGGCGAAAGCCUGAUGCAGCGACGCCACGUGAGGGAUGACGGCCUUCGGGUUGUAAACCUCUGUCACCGGGGAAGAAACGCUGUAUUUUAAUAGAAUACAGCCUGACUUAACCCGGAGAGGAAGCAGUGGCGAACUCUGUGCCAGCAGCCGCGGUAAUACAGAGACUGCGAGCGUUAUUCGGAUUCACUGGGCGUAAAGGGUGCGCAGGCGGCUGAGUGUGUCAGGUGUGAAAGCCCGAGGCUUAACCUCGGAAUUGCGCCUGAAACUACUCAGCUAGAGUAUUGGAGAGGGUAGCGGAAUUCACGGUGUAGCAGUGAAAUGCGUAGAUAUCGUGAGGAACACCAGAGGCGAAGGCGGCUACCUGGACAAUUACUGACGCUCAGGCACGAAAGCGUGGGGAGCAAAAGGGA
rnacentral:misc_RNA from 1 species